AUGAUGGGUGGUAAGUACAAAAUCAUAUAUCACAUAAUCUUUUCAUUCGGCACCGAUAAGGUGAUGUAAUAUCAUAUAUUAUUCUAUUGCAUAUAGUAGGUCAUAUCGUUAUCAUGUAUAUACGUGAUAAGAACCGGAUACACAGAGUGGUCGUGUUACGAAAAAGUCCGUAAUCGACGUAGCCCCCACCUCCCGCCACCCGGCGACGACCUCUCUCACAACGAAAUUAGGACUACCCUGCGGGGUAUACAGAAACAUAAUUUAUCAAAAAGCUCACCAGUCCUGCACGCUGUUGAACGACUCCUCGUUGGUGAUAUCGUACAUGAGAAUGAACCCCAUGGCACCCCUGUAAUAUGCCGUCGUGAUGGUCCUGUAACGUUCCUGGCCCGCCGUGUCC